AGAAUUAUUGAAGAUAUUAUGUUAAUAAAAAACUAGUGUUCAUAUUGUUGGAACGUAAUAGAUUGAUGGUAGCUGAUGGAGAAUGAAGAAAUUCCAUGGUGAUGUUGCUCAAAGACACGAGAAACUUGUGAUUCGUGAUAUGUUUGGAACUUUUGGAACAGCGGCGCGACCAGUGCGUGAUAUAUUUGAGAAAGCUUUCUGGUUAGGGUUUCGAAAUCUCUGAUGAUGAAGGUGUGAAGAUGGUGGCUGGUAGUGAGCGUGGCGGCAUGGCACAGUUCAUUGCGAUUGAUCACUGCUUCUUUGAAAUUCUCCUUGGAGAUUGGUGUGGAGAAGGUUGGGUGAGAUACUGGCAUUUUUGCGAUGGCGUGUGGAACUCACGAGGCAGUGGAGGAUGUUUUGCUAGUCGUGGUGACGCAAGAGUGGUGGUGGUCUGGUGGCUAGGGUUUCUGUGUAAAGGGAAAUUAGGGUUUCUGUAAGUAGGAGAUAAUGAUGACAUGUCAAGAGUGAUUUGUCAAAACUGAUUCUCAAUUAGGUGUGUAACUGUCUACAUCAACCAAUAUAUUAUCAUGUAAUUUACUAAUUAGUGCUGUGGACAUUUUGUCGUUAACGAUUUAAACAUCGUCAGC
rnacentral:lncRNA from 1 species